rnacentral:rRNA from 1 species
UCGAGCGAGUCUGCCUUGAAGAUCGGAGUGCUUGCACUCUGUGAAACAAGAUACAGGCUAGCGGCGGACGGGUGAGUAACACGUGGGUAACCUGCCCAAGAGAUCGGGAUAACACCUGGAAACAGAUGCUAAUACCGGAUAACAACAGAUGAUGCCUAUCAACUGUUUAAAAGAUGGUUCUGCUAUCACUCUUGGAUGGACCUGCGGUGCAUUAGCUAGUUGGUAGGGUAACGGCCUACCAAGGCGAUGAUGCAUAGCCGAGUUGAGAGACUGAUCGGCCACAUUGGGACUGAGACACGGCCCAAACUCCUACGGGAGGCAGCAGUAGGGAAUCUUCCACAAUGGACGCAAGUCUGAUGGAGCAACGCCGCGUGAGUGAAGAAGGGUUUCGGCUCGUAAAGCUCUGUUGUUGGUGAAGAAGGACAGGGGUAGUAACUGACCUUUGUUUGACGGUAAUCAAUUAGAAAGUCACGGCUAACUACGUGCCAGCAGCCGCGGUAAUACGUAGGUGGCAAGCGUUGUCCGGAUUUAUUGGGCGUAAAGCGAGUGCAGGCGGCUCGAUAAGUCUGAUGUGAAGGCCUUCGGCUCAACCGGAGAAUUGCAUCAGAAACUGUCGAGCUUGAGUACAGAAGAGGAGAGUGGAACUCCAUGUGUAGCGGUGAAACGCGUAGAUAUAUGGAAGAACACCGGUGGCGAAGGCGGCUCUCUGGUCUGUUACUGACGCUGAGGCUCGAAAGCAUGGGUAGCGAACAGGAUUAGAUACCCUGGUAGUCCAUGCCGU